rnacentral:rRNA from 1 species
UACACACCGCCCGUCACACCAUGGGAGUUGGCUUUACCUGAAGACGGUGCGCUAACCGCAAGGAGGCAGCCGGCCACGGUAGGGUCAGCGACCGGAGUG